GAGUUUGAUCUUGGCUCAGAUUGAACGCUGGCGGCAUGCCUUACACAUGCAAGUCGAACGGCAGCAUGAUCUAGCUUGCUAGAUUGAUGGCGAGUGGCGAACGGGUGAGUAAUACAUCGGAACGUGCCCUGUAGUGGGGGAUAACUAGUCGAAAGAUUGGCUAAUACCGCAUACGACCUGAGGGUGAAAGUGGGGGACCGCAAGGCCUCAUGCUAUAGGAGCGGCCGAUGUCUGAUUAGCUAGUUGGUGGGGUAAAGGCCCACCAAGGCGACGGAUCAGUAGCUGGUCUGAGAGGACGAUCAGCCACACUGGGACUGAGACACGGCCCAGACUCCUACGGGAGGCAGCAGUGGGAAUUUGGACAAUGGGCGAAAGCCUGAUCCAGCAAUGCGCGUGUGUGAAGAAGGCUC
rnacentral:rRNA from 1 species